CCUUGGGCUUGAGCCCGGAUGUAGGCGGAGUAGGCGCGCGGAGCCCAGACUGCGGUGCACGUUUUGGGGACCGCAGAUUAAGGGGGUCCCGGAGCGACUGUGUUACAGUUUAAGUGUCUUUUUACUUGCCAAAGGAAGACAACAAAGGAAACGAUCUCUGAGUGGCAAGUAGGUGUGUGACUGCAUCCUUGUCAGCAUCCCAGGAGUGCACUGCAGUCUACGCCAGCUCCCUGGGCAUUUGGUAAUCCAGAAGAUCCAGUUGCUUGUGGUUGUUUGCAUGAAGCAUGGUCACCGCUGCUGAGGAAUCCUUUGGCUUGGGCUGAGUCGGUCCCUCCUGCGUCUUCAGUCCUUGCAGUGACACCCACGUUGUUCCGCUCAUGAUAAAUGAAGGGCCUCUCGGGCUGUGCUCCUCACCUCAUAAUGAGAAUUACCAGCAGGCCUGGAUGGAUCCAAAGUAAUGUGAGCCUGCUGUCCUGCAAAUGUCUUUAAUAAUAAAUGACAAGGAAGGCAGAAGAGACAUGGACAGGGCCAAGGAAAUCAGCAAAGGAUGAAGCACCCAGAGAAUAGCAACAGUGGAGAGUGCCUUCUGAUGAUAAUUGGCAAUGCCAUGGAGCUGCCACUUGGAAACUAUAUGUACCAGCUGAGGACUGAACAUCUGACCAUUGUGGUGCAUCAUUCCCUUAUCACUGGAACAUCUACAGGUAUUAUUAAACCCAUUUUACAGAUGAGGCAUAUUAAGGAAU